UACGUAGGGUGCGAGCGUUAAUCGGAAUUACUGGGCGUAAAGCGUGCGCAGGCGGUUUUGUAAGCCCGAUGUGAAUGCCCCGGGCUUAACCUGGGAAUGGCAUUUGGGACUGCAAGGCUUGAGUGCGGCAGAGGAGACUGGAAUUCCCGGUGUAGCAGUGAAAUGCGUAGAUAUCGGGAGGAAUACCGAUGGCGAAGGCGAGUCCCUGGACAUCUCCUGACACUGAGGCACGAAAGCUAGGGGAGCAAACAGG
rnacentral:rRNA from 1 species